rnacentral:rRNA from 1 species
UACGUAGGGGGCAAGCGUUGUCCGGAAUCAUUGGGCGUAAAGAGCGCAUAGGCGGCCCUGUAAGUCCGCUGUGAAAGUCAAGGGCUCAACCCUUGGAUGCCGGUGGAUACUGCAGGGCUAGAGUCCGGAAGAGGCGAGUGGAAUUCCUGGUGUAGCGGUGAAAUGCGCAGAUAUCAGGAGGAACACCGAUGGCGAAGGCAGCUCGCUGGGACGGUACUGACGCUGAGGCGCGAAAGCGUGGGGAGCAAACAGG